rnacentral:rRNA from 1 species
GUCUGUAUGAAGUUAUAUAGAGUCUAACCUGCCCAUUGAAAAAUUUUAAAAGGCCGCAGUAUAUUAACUGUGCAAAGGUAGCAUAAUCAUUAGUUUUUUAAUUAAAGGCUUGUAUGAAGGGUUGGACAAAGAAUGAUCUGUUUCUAUUUUUAAAUUUAAAUUUAACUUUUAAGUGAAAAGGCUUAAAUGAAUUUAAGGGACGAUAAGACCCUAUAAAUCUUUAUAUCAAAUUAUUUUUAGUUGAUUAAUAUAGUAGAUAUUAAUAAUAAAAUAACACAUAUUAUAUUGGGGUGAUAAGAAUAUAAAAAAUAACUGUUCUAAAAUUAAAACAAAAUUAUUUGUAGUAGUUAUAAUAGAUCCUUUAUUGAGAUCCAAAGUUUAAGUUACUUUAGGGAUAACAGCGUUAUUUUUUUUGAGAGUUCUUAUCGAAAAAAAAGUUUGCGACCUCGAUGUUGAAUUAAAAUUUCUCUGUGGUGUAGUUGUUACAAGAGAGAGUCUGUUCGACUUUU